rnacentral:rRNA from 1 species
UACGAAGGGGGCAAGCGUUGUUCGGAAUUACUGGGCGUAAAGGGCGCGUAGGCGGCCACCGCAAGUCGACUGUGAAAUCUCCGGGCUUACCCGGAAAGGUCAGCCGAUACUGCGGGGCUAGAGUGCAGAAGGGGCAACUGGGAAUUCUCGGUGUAGCGGUGAAAUGCGUAGAUAUCGAGAGGAACACCUGCGGCGAAGGCGGGUUGCUGGGCUGACACUGACGCUGAGGCGCGAAGCCAGGGGAGCAAACGGG